CAUUUCACUAUCUGAAGAGCAGAAAAUGUGUUAAUAGGAGCCUGGUGAGUGGAGGAGACUGAAGAUGGAGAGAGAGCCUGGACCUCAACAUGAGCAUCUGGAGCCAUUUGGCAGCAUUAGGCUGUGACCGCUUAGAGAACCGAAAGGUGCAGAGCUUUAAAGGAUUAUGGAGUCUGAAGACCAAAUGGGAUGAUGGAGAACAGCUAUUCAGUGGUACAAAUGUAAAUGCUCCCAGGCCCGGGCAGAAAAGAGAAAACAUUUCCAUGGAAGAGGAAACAGGAAAUUCCAACAGAUCAGCAACAGUUGGAGUGCUAACCUGUCACUGGAAUGGGAAAAAAAAUGCUGUCGUUGACACAUCUUUUCCUUGUUUUUGACACAAAUUAGAAACACCACCUGGAACACAGCUGUGACUUGAUAAACAAGUGAAACAUUCUUUGGUGUGGUGAGGGGAAAACAAAUUUCUCAAAGGACACGCACCAUGGUGUAUGAGAGGACACUGGAGCCCAGCCAGCAUCUGACAUGCUGAAUUCAAAGUGCAGGUGAAAGUAGGACAACUGAUUCACAAGCU
rnacentral:lncRNA from 1 species